GUCGUGAGAUGUUGGGUUAAGUCCCGCAACGAGCGCAACCCUCGCUCCCAGUUGCCAGCGAGUCAUGUCGGGGACUCUGGGGGGACUGCCGGCGUUAAGCCGGAGGAAGGUGGGGACGACGUCAAGUCAUCACGGCCCUUACGUCCAGGGCGACACACGUGCUACAAUGCCUGGUACAGCGCGUCGCGAACCCGCGAGGGGGAGCCAAUCGCUAAAAGCCGGGCUAAGUUCGGAUUGCAGUCUGCAACUCGACUGCAUGAAGCCGGAAUCGCUAGUAAUCGCGGAUCAGCCACGCCGCGGUGAAUACGUUCCCGGGCCUUGUACACACCGCCCGUCACGCCAUGGAAGCUGGAGGGACCCGAAACCGGUGGGCCAACCGCAAGGGGGCAGCCGUCUAAGGUCAAUUCAGUGACUGGGGCGAAGUCGUAACAAGGUAGCCGUAGGGGAACCUGCGGCUGGAUCACCUCCUUUCUGGAGCGCCGAGUAGCCCGCGCCGUAAGGCGCGGGGUGAAAGGCCCCAGAUUUUGUCGCCCGCACUUUCCACGCUCGACCAUCGUCUUUUUUUCGUUCUUUGACAACUGACGAGUGUGUGUGUUGUGGUGUUGAGGAAUCACACCGAGACACUGAGAUCAAGCGCGUAAGGGCGCACGGUGGAUGCCUUGGCACAGGGAGGCGACGAAGGACGUGGUAAGCUGCGAUAAGCCUGGGGGAGCUGCAAACAAGCUGUGAUCCCAGGAUUU
rnacentral:sRNA from 1 species